UGCAUUAUAAAAUGGUCAUUCAAAAUUUUUCGUAAUAACAAAGAAACGUUAUUGUAUACUUCUUGUUCGAUUGGACUCACUACCUUCUACGACUUCCCUUAUGCAAAAUCAGUUUUCCAAAAGUUUGAAGUCUUUUAAGUUCUGAGUUUGGGUUAAUUGUAGGGGUUUUGCGUCUUAUUGGAGUCACAGGAAGCUCUAUAGGGCUAAGUUUUCUCAACGGUGAGGAUGAGUCUGCAUUAAAAUAAAAAGCUUCUGCAGCAUCAUAUUGGUUACUUGCUGAUUCUUCAAGAGAUAUGAAAGAACGGUUUUUACUCACAGAAAGAGAAUCCACUGAUGUGUAAGGCGAGUAACCCCUCGAUGCAUCAAUAACGUUGAUACUUUCCGUAGAAACAUUAGACACGUUGUUGAUUUCUGUAUGACAUGAUUCUUUUUUCACUUUGUAAGGAGGUGAUCUAAUUGUAUUAGAAUGUGAUGGAUGCUUGUUUUUUGAAGUAGUGGGACCGGUUUUUGAAAAAGUAUAGCUGACUAUUUCAUCCUCUUCUAAAUAGUCUGGUAAUCGGUAAUUAUUUUGUGAAAGUAAUUUAUUAUUGUCACUUAAAUUAUAUUUUAAGCAUUCAAAGCCCAUCGGAGAAUCCUCUAUACUAUAAGUCGACAUAUUUAACGUAGGAUCUGAAGUUUUUAAUAUCAUCAAUCUUGCAGAAUCAUGUCUUAGUUUACUCAAUGCUUCUUCAGCUCGCAAUGGCAAAGGAAGAGAUUCAAAUAAUUGUUCAAAUUUCACUUGGAUUCGAUCUUCUUUUGGUGCAUUAUUUAUGAACGCGUGCGAUUCACUUUGUUCCAACAUUUUGCCAUGCGAUUUAUCUUUUUAAAGAUAUGACUUUAGGUUAAAAUGAAGUUUAACAAAGUUUUGAGAUUUGGAUAAAUCCAACUUUUCAAUAAUUGCUUCAUUUAGGUGUUAAGGCUCAAGAAAAUUGGUUAGUGAAGAAGGUAAAUAAAAUCAACGAUAUAUAUACUGUAGGUGCUUGCAAAAAAUGUCUUCAAUGAAAAACCUAGGA